CCUAGUAAAAAAGCUAGAAUAACAACAUAAGACCAGAAGACCCUGUGAAGCUUAAAUAAAACUAUUAAACCAUAUAAUAACUACUUUCGGUUGGGGCGACCUUGGAAAAAAAAAGAACUUCCAAAUAAAAUGACUAUAUCUCAUUAACCUAAACAGGCUAACAAGCCAAAAAUGACCCAGCACAGCUGAUAAUUGAACCAAGUUACUCCAGGGAUAACAGCGCAAUCUUCUUCAAGAGCCCAUAUCAAAAAGAAGGUUUACGACCUCGAUGUUGGAUCAGGACAUCCUAAUGGUGCAGCCGCUAUUAAGGGUUCGUUUGUUCAACGAUUAAUA
rnacentral:rRNA from 1 species